rnacentral:rRNA from 1 species
UGAGGAAUAUUGCACAAUGGGAAGCCAUCGAUGCAGCAACGACCGCGUGAAGGAAGAAGGUCUUCGGAUUGUAAACUUCUUUAUGAGGGACGAAGGACGUGACGGUACCUCAUGAAUAAGCCACGGCUAACUACGUGCCAGCAGCCGCGGUAAUACGUAGGUGGCAAGCGUUAUCCGGAUUUACUGGGUGUAAAGGGCGCGUAGGCGGGGAGUGCAAGUCAGAUGUGAAAUCUAUGGGCUUAACUCAUAAACUGCAUUUGAAACUGUAUCUCUUGAGUGCUGGAGAGGUAGACGGAAUUCCUUGUGUAGCGGUGAAAUGCGUAGAUAUAAGGAAGAACACCAGUGGCGAAGGCGGUCUACUGGACAGUAACUGACGCUGAGGCGCGAAAGCGUGGGGAGCAAACAGGAUUACAUACC